AAGUCGUAACAAGGUUUCCGUAGGUGAACCUGCGGAAGGAUCAUUACCGUGGGGAUUCGUCCCCAUCGAGAUAGCACCCUUUGUUUAUGAGUACCAUUUGUUUCCUCGGCGGGUCUGCCUGGACCCGCCGCUAGGACCCCCUAAAAAACCUUUGCAGUUGCAGUACCUUCAGUAAUCAAAAAAAAAUAUCAAAACUUUCAACAACGGAUCUCUUGGUUCUG
rnacentral:misc_RNA from 1 species